GACGAACGCUGGCGGCGUGCCUAAUACAUGCAAGUCGAACGCUUCUUUCCUCCCGAGUGCUUGCACUCAAUUGGAAAGAGGAGUGGCGGACGGGUGAGUAACACGUGGGUAACCUACCCAUCAGAGGGGGAUAACACUUGGAAACAGGUGCUAAUACCGCAUAACAGUUUAUGCCGCAUGGCAUAAGAGUGAAAGGCGCUUUCGGGUGUCGCUGAUGGAUGGACCCGCGGUGCAUUAGCUAGUUGGUGAGGUAACGGCUCACCAAGGCCACGAUGCAUAGCCGACCUGAGAGGGUGAUCGGCCACACUGGGACUGAGACACGGCCCAGACUCCUACGGGAGGCAGCAGUAGGGAAUCUUCGGCAAUGGACGAAAGUCUGACCGAGCAACGCCGCGUGAGUGAAGAAGGUUUUCGGAUCGUAAAACUCUGUAGUUAGAGAAGAACAAGGACGUUAGUAACUGAACGUCCCCUGACGGUAUCUAACCAGAAAGCCACGGCUAACUACGUG
rnacentral:rRNA from 1 species